rnacentral:rRNA from 1 species
GACGAACGCUGGCGGCGUGCUUAACACAUGCAAGUCGAACGGAAAGGCCCUGCUUUUGUGGGGUGCUCGAGUGGCGAACGGGUGAGUAACACGUGAGUAACCUGCCCUUGACUUUGGGAUAACUUCAGGAAACUGGGGCUAAUACCGGAUAGGAGCUCCUGCUGCACGGUGGGGGUUGGAAAGUUUCGGCGGUUGGGGAUGGACUCGCGGCUUAUCCGCUUGUUGGGGGGGUAGUGGCUUACCAAGGCUUUGACGGGUAGCCGGCCUGAGAGGGUGACCGGCCACAUUGGGACUGAGGUACGGCCCAGACUCCUACGGGAGGCAGCAGUGGGGAAUAUUGCACAGUGGGCGGAAGCCUGAUGCAGCAACGCCGCGUGCGGAAUGACGGCCUUCGGGUUGUAAACCGCUUUCGCCUGUGACGAAGCGUGAGUGACGGUAAUGGGUAAAGAAGCACCGGCUAACUACGUG